AUCGUAGUCCGGAUCGCAGUCUGCAACUCGACUGCGUGAAGUCGGAAUCGCUAGUAAUCGCAAAUCAGAAUGUUGCGGUGAAUACGUUCCCGGGCCUUGUACACACCGCCCGUCACACCAUGGGAGUGGGUUGCAAAAGAAGUAGGUAGCUUAACCGCAAGGAGGGCGCUUACCACUUUGUGAUUCAUGACUGGGGUGAAGUCGUAACAAGGUAACCCUAGGGGAACCUGGGGUUGGAUCACCUCCUUACCUAAAGCAG
rnacentral:rRNA from 1 species